rnacentral:rRNA from 1 species
AUCGAAUGCUGGCGGUAGGCCUAACACUUGCAAGUCGAACGCGAAAGUCCUUCGGGAUGAGUAGAAUGGCGGACGGGUGAGUAACGCGUAGGAAUCUGUCCUGUAGUGGGGGAUAACGUUUCGAAGGGAACGCUAAUACCGCAUACGCCCUACGGGGGAAAGCGGGGGAUCUUCGGACCUCGUGCUAUAGGAGGAGCCUGCGUCGGAUUAGCUAGUUGGUGAGGUAAAGGCUCACCAAGGCGACGAUCCGUAGCUGGUCUGAGAGGAUGAUCGGCCACACCGGAGUUGAGAACCGGUCCGGACUCCUACGGGAGGCAGCAGUGGGGAAGAUUGUGCAAUGGGCGAAAGCCUGACGCAGCCAUACCGCGUGGGUGAAGAAGGCCUUCGGGUUGUAAAGCACUUUCAGUGGGGAGGAAAAGCUGGUGGCUAAUAUCCAUCGGCCGUGACGCUACCCACAGGAGAAGCACCGGCUAAUUCCGUGCCAGCCGCCGCAGUAAGAC